rnacentral:sRNA from 1 species
UGAAAGACGCGCAUUUAUUAUCAUCAUCCCUAUUAUCAGAGAUGUUUCUUUGGCCACCCGGUGACAAUCGGGUGGCAUUUUC